AUGAUUGGUGAGGGCGAUGAUCCCCUCGCUCCUGCGCUUUUCCGGCCGUUGUUUAGUGUUUCACCGGCCGUGUUGCUCCUGUUGGUUGACAUCGGCGAUGCCGGGCGGGCACCAGCGGAUGCAUACUGUGCUGAUGAAUCAUGCAGCAGCAGAACGCCGUUGCUUGCUUGCUUGCUUUGCAUUGCUCACAACCUCACCGGUGAUGGCGAUGAUGCUGCCGCUGAAGAAGAGGACAUGGAUGGAUGGCUGGCCGAUUGGGACGUUGCAUGGGCAUGGGAAAGGAAAGUCUCUCCCCAGUUUUGUUUUCCAAUGACGAUGGUGAUGAAGACGUGCUGGAUGGAUGGAGAAAAAUAG
rnacentral:rRNA from 1 species